rnacentral:precursor_RNA from 15 species
CACAGAAAUUCUGUUCACGCAUAAGCCUGAUAUCUCGGUGCGAUCGUACCGUAUCGCUCACACUUAGAUUACGGUACGAUCGCGGCGGGAUAUCAGGUACGUGAUUGGAAGCUGUGCAAUUCUG